rnacentral:rRNA from 1 species
UACGAAGGGGGCUAGCGUUGCUCGGAAUUACUGGGCGUAAAGCGCACGUAGGCGGGUUGUUAAGUCGGGGGUGAAAUCCUGGAGCUCAACUCCAGAACUGCCUUCGAAACUGACGAUCUUGAGUUCGGGAGAGGUGAGUGGAACUGCGAGUGUAGAGGUGAAAAUUCGUAGAUAUUCGCAAGAACACCAGUGGCGAAGGCGGCUCACUGGCCCGAUACUGACGCUGAGGUGCGAAAGCGUGGGGAGCAAACAGG